GGGCGGUUGGUACCUUCCAGUGGACUCACCACCCGCAGGAAGGUUUAGGUACUGCGCGCGCGUACGUCGGCCACUUUGCGUCGCCAACGGACCGUUAGUUCCUUGUACUGCUUCAUACUUUAUCUGACCUUUACUCAACGCAUAGGUUUGAGGGAACGACCUUGGGCAGUUACUUAGGUUUUGGUGCAGAUGAAAUGGAAGAUCCUGAAGAACACGUGGAGGAUUGUGCAGCAGGAGUGGAAAGCUUUGAAGGUCACACGACGAGAAGGAUAUGAAGGGUUUGGUAUGUGGCUAAAGCUUAGAAGAAAGGCAUAUUUGUAUAAACACAAUACGCUGCAAAACCUUUGUUGACCUUACAAGCACCUAACUGGUCCAGCACCAGUAGUUUGAGAUUACACAAAUAAUAAUAAACAUGUCCAUUGUAACCAUAGAUUUUUUUAUUACACAAUAAAAACUACCUCUCUUACUGUACAUUUUGCAAAAUAAUUAACUAAAACAGUACAAAUGUUGAGCUAAAACUCUUUUUAACUCUUACAUUUACCACCUCACCAUAUCUAGAUCUGACAAAAGUGUUGAUAUUUUACCUCCCUGCAAACCAUGACACGUCUUUAUGAUUUUCUCCCCCGCGCUUAGGCCGGUGAUCGUCAA